GACGAACGCUGGCGGCGUGCUUAACACAUGCAAGUCGAACGGAAAGGCCCCCACCUUGGUGGGGGUGCUCGAGUGGCGAACGGGUGAGUAACACGUGGGUGAUCUGCCCUGUACUUCGGGAUAAGCUUGGGAAACUGGGUCUAAUACCGGAUAGGACCAUGGUUUAGUGUCUCAUGGUGGAAAAAUUAUUGUUUUGGUGCAGGAUGAGCUCGCGGCCUAUCAGCUUGUUGGUGGGGUAAUGGCCUACCAAGGCGUCGACGGGUAGCCGGCCUGAGAGGGUGGACGGCCACAUUGGGACUGAGAUACGGCCCAGACUCGUACGGGAGGCAGCAGUGGGGAAUAUUGCACAAUGGGCGCAAGCCUGAUGCAGCGACGCCGCGUGGGGGAUGACGGCCUUCGGGUUGUAACCUCCUUUCGUUAGGGACGAAGCCACACCUUUUUUGGGUGUGGUGACGGUACCUUUGUUAAGAAGCACCGGCUAACUACGUG
rnacentral:rRNA from 1 species